rnacentral:lncRNA from 1 species
CUUGUAAAAUCUGUUUUGGACUUAUGUUGUUUACGUGGCCUUUGUGCUUGAGUUAUUAGAUUCUGAGGGGUGUUUUACACCUAAUGCCCUAAAGUCUUCUGGCUUGGGAGUCAUUGAUCGAAAGCUUUCUAACGAGUACUCUGUUUUGCCUCAAAGUAUUCAAGUUCUGUCUAAGUUAGAUUUUACUUUUCUUUUCUAGAACUUUCGAGCCUUUCAUGCUUCUGCGUCUUGUUUUAAUUCUUGUUAUUAGCGUGAGUUGCUUGGGUGCCUGUUGGUUAUCAUGGUCGACAAUAAGAUCUUCAUUGGGUUAUGGCUAGUGUAGAUAUGUGG